rnacentral:rRNA from 1 species
UACGAAGGGGGCUAGCGUUGCUCGGAAUCACUGGGCGUAAGCGCACGUAGGCGGACUCUUAAGUCGGUGGUGAAAUCCUGGAGCUCAACUCCAGAACUGCCUUCGAUACUGGGAGUCUCGAGUCCGGGAGAGGUGAGUGGAACUGCGAGUGUAGAGGUGAAAUUCGUAGAUAUUCGCAAGAACACCAGUGGCGAAGGCGGCUCACUGGCCCGGUACUGACGCUGAGGUGGCGAAAAGCGUGGGGAGCGAACAGG